UACGUAGGGUGCGAGCGUUGUCCGGAAUUAUUGGGCGUAAAGAGCUCGUAGGCGGUCUGUCGCGUCUGCUGUGAAAACCUGGGGCUUAACCCCGGGCCUGCAGUGGGUACGGGCAGACUAGAGUGUGGUAGGGGAGACUGGAAUUCCUGGUGUAGCGGUGAAAUGCGUAGAUAUCAGGAGGAACACCAGUGGCGAAGGCGGCUUUCUGGACGGUAACUGACGCUGAGACGCGAAAGCGUGGGGAGCAAACAGG
rnacentral:rRNA from 1 species